rnacentral:rRNA from 1 species
AUUGAACGCUGGCGGAAUGCUUUACACAUGCAAGUCGAACGGUAGAGGGGGCAACCCCUUGAGAGUGGCGAACGGGUGAGUAAUAUAUCGGAACGUGCCCAGUCGUGGGGAUAACGUAGCGAAAGUUACGCUAAUACCGCAUACGAUCUAAGGAUGAAAGCGGGGGAUCGCAAGACCUCGCGCGAUUGGAGCGGCCGAUAUCAGAUUAGGUAGUUGGUGAGGUAAAGGCUCACCAAGCCAACGAUCUGUAGCUGGUCUGAGAGGACGACCAGCCACACUGGAACUGAGACACGGUCCAGACUCCUACGGGAGGCAGCAGUGGGGAAUUUUGGACAAUGGACGCAAGUCUGAUCCAGCCAUUCCGCGUGCAGGAUGAAGGCCCUCGGGUUGUAAACUGCUUUUGUACGGAACGAAACGGUGAGCUCUAAUACAGUUUGCUAAUGACGGUACCGUAAGAAUAAGACACCGGCUAACUACGUGCCAGCAGCCGCGGU